rnacentral:piRNA from 1 species
UCAAAAUAAAUAGGCUAAGCUGU